ACAACAUUCGGACCGUCGGUCUACCGAGCAAAUAUCACCCGCUCGGUGGAAGAUCUUUGUUGUAUU
rnacentral:pre_miRNA from 1 species